rnacentral:rRNA from 1 species
UACGAAGGGGGCAAGCGUUGUUCGGAUUUACUGGGCGUAAAGCGCUCGUAGGCGGUUUGUUAAGUGAGGGGUGAAAUCCCAGGGCUCAACCCUGGAAUUGCCUUUCAGACUGGCAGACUUGAGUAUGGUAGAGGAUAGUGGAAUUCCCAGUGUAGAGGUGAAAUUCGUAGAUAUUGGGAGGAACACCAGUGGCGAAAGCGGCUAUCUGGACCAUUACUGACGCUAAGGAGCGAAAGCGUGGGGAGCAAACAGG